rnacentral:rRNA from 1 species
UACGUAGGGGGGCAAGCGUUGUCCGGAUUUAUUGGGCGUAAAGAGCUCGUAGGCGGCUUGUCACGUCGGGUGUGAAAGCCCGGGGCUUAACCCCGGGUCUGCAUUCGAUACGGGCUAGCUAGAGUGUGGUAGGGGAGAUCGGAAUUCCUGGUGUAGCGGUGAAAUGCGCAGAUAUCAGGAGGAACACCGGUGGCGAAGGCGGAUCUCUGGGCCAUUACUGACGCUGAGGAGCGAAAGCGUGGGGAGCGAACAGG